AUACUUACCUGCCAGGGGAGACACCAUGAUUACAAAGGUGGUUCUCCCAGGGCAAGGCUCGACCAUUGCACUCCGGCUGUGCUGACCCCAGCCAUUUCCCUAAAUGCCGGAAACUCGGCUGCAUCAUUUGUGGUAGUGGGGGACUGCGUUCACUCUUA